GAUGAACGCUAGCUACAGGCUUAACACAUGCAAGUCGAGGGGCAGCAUGACCUAGCAAUAGGUUGAUGGCGACCGGCGCACGGGUGAGUAACACGUAUCCAACUUGCCGAUUAUUCCGGGAUAGCCUUUCGAAAGAAAGAUUAAUACUGGAUAGCAUAACGAGAAGCCAUCUUCUUGUUAUUAAAGAAUUUCGAUAAUCGAUGGGGAUGCGUUCCAUUAGUUUGUUGGCGGGGUAACGGCCCACCAAGACAUCGAUGGAUAGGGGUUCUGAGAGGAAGGUCCCCCACAUUGGAACUGAGACACGGUCCAAACUCCUACGGGAGGCAGCAGUGAGGAAUAUUGGUCAAUGGACGAGAGUCUGAACCAGCCAAGUAGCGUGAAGGAUGACUGCCCUAUGGGUUGUAAACUUCUUUUAUAUGGGAAUAAAGUGGGCCACGUGUGGCUUUUUGUAUGUACCAUACGAAUAAGGAUCGGCUAACUCCGUG
rnacentral:rRNA from 1 species